AUUGAACGCUGGCGGCAGGCCUAACACAUGCAAGUCGAGCGGAUGAAGGGUGCUUGCUCCUGGAUUCAGCGGCGGACGGGUGAGUAAUGCCUAGGAAUCUGCCUGGUAGUGGGGGAUAACGUCCGGAAACGGGCGCUAAUACCGCAUACGUCCUGAGGGAGAAAGUGGGGGAUCUUCGGACCUCACGCUAUCAGAUGAGCCUAGGUCGGAUUAGCUAGUUGGUGGGGUAAAGGCCUACCCAGGCGACGAUCCGUAACUGGUCUGAGAGGAUGAUCAGUCACACUGGAACUGAGACACGGUCCAGACUCCUACGGGAGGCAGCAGUGGGGAAUAUUGGGCCAUGGGCGAAAGCCUGAUCCAGCCAUGCCGCGUGUGUGAAGAAGGUCUUCGGAUUGGAAAGCACUUUAAGUUGGGAGGAAGGGCAGUAAGUUAAUACCUUGCUGUUUUGACGUUACCAACAGAAUAAGCACCGGCUAACUUCGUG
rnacentral:rRNA from 1 species